GACGAACCGUGCGAACGUUGUUCGGAAUCACUGGGCAUAAAGGGCGCGUAGGCGGCUUGUCAAGUCAGGGGUGAAAUCCGGCAGCUUAACUGUCGAAGUGCCUUUGAUACUGAUGAGCUCGAGGGAGGUAGGGGUAUGCGGAACUUCCGGUGGAGCGGUGAAAUGCGUUGAUAUCGGAAGGAACGCCGGUGGCGAAAGCGGCGUACUGGACCUCGUUCUGACGCUGAGGCGCGAAAGCUAGGGGAGCAAACGGGG
rnacentral:rRNA from 1 species